rnacentral:tRNA from 1 species
GCGUGAAUGGGGUAGUGGUAACCUUAAUCGUUGCCAGUCUUCAACUCGAUUAGCCAGGGGUUCGAUUCCCCUUUCACGCA